rnacentral:rRNA from 1 species
AACAUGUCUUUUUGAUAAUAAUUUAAAGUCUAACCUGCCCACUGAUAAUUUUUGAAGGGCCGCGGUAUAUUGACUGUGCAAAGGUAGCAUAAUCAUUAGUCUUUUAAUUGAAGGCUUGUAUGAAUGGUUGGAUGAGGUAUUAACUGUCUCAAUUUAAUAAAUAAUAGAAUUUUAUUUUUAAGUUAAAAAGCUUAAAUGAUUUUAAAAGACGAGAAGACCCUAUAGAUCUUUAUAUUUAAUUUUUUAAUAAUUUUUUAGUUAAAAUUUAUUUUUAGGAAUAAAAAUAUUGAGUUGGGGUGAUUAAAAAAUUUAGUAAACUUUUUUUUUAUUUAAACAGUAAUUUUUGAAUAAUUGAUCCAUUUUUUGUGAUUAAAAGAUUAAGUUACCUUAGGGAUAACAGCGUAAUUUUUUUGGAGAGUUCUUAUCGAUAAAAAAGAUUGCGACCUCGAUGUUGAAUUAAAGGUUAAUUUUAGGUGUAGAAGUUUAAAAUUUUGGUC